rnacentral:rRNA from 1 species
CUUGGUGACGACCGGCGCACGGGUGCGUAACGCGUAUGCAACCUACCUCUUACUGGGGGAUAGCCCGAAGAAAUUCGGAUUAACACCCCAUAGUAUUAUUUAAUCGCAUGAUUUUAAUAAUUAAAGGUUACGGUAAGAGAUGGGCAUGCGUCCUAUUAGUUUGAUGGUAAGGUAACGGCUUACCAUGGCUACGAUAGGUAGGGGGCCUGAGAGGGUGAUCCCCCACACUGGCACUGAGACACGGACCAG